AGGGAUCCCCUCAGUAGCGGCGAGCGAAGCGGGAAAAGCUCAAGUUUGAAAUCCGAGUUCACUCGGAGUUGUAAGCUGGAGAGGUGCCUGCCGGCGUGGCCUGGGCUCAAUUUCCUUGGAACAGGAGGUCAUUGAGGGUGAGAACCCCGUUCAUGGCUCCGGUCCCCACGUCCUAGUGCGGCUUCCUCCAAGAGUCGGGUUGUUUGGGAAUGCAGCUCAAAAUGGGUGGUAAAUUUCAUCUAAAGCUAAAUACUGGCAAGAGACCGAUAGCGAACAAGUAGAGUGAUCGAAAGAUGAAAAGUACUUUGAAAAGAGAGUGAAACAGUGCGUGAAAUUGUUGAAAGGGAAGCGCUUGGUAUCAG
rnacentral:rRNA from 1 species